rnacentral:rRNA from 1 species
AAUCAACGCUGGCGGCGUGCUUAACACAUGCAAGUCGAGCGGUAAGGCCCUUUCGGGGGUACGACGAGCGGCGAACGGGUGAGUAACACGUGGGUGACCUGCCCUCAGCUCUGGGAUAAGCCUGGGAAACCGGGUCGUAAUACUGGAUAUGACUCCAUGACGCAUGUUGUGGGGUGGAAAGCCUUGUGCGGCUGAGGAUGGGCCCGCGGCCUAUCAGCUUGUUGGUGGGGUGGAUGGCCUACCAAGGCGACGACGGGUAGCCGGCCUGAGAGGGC